rnacentral:rRNA from 1 species
AGGACGAACGCUGGCGGCGUGCUUAACACAUGCAAGUCGCACGAGAAAGGGGAGCAAUCCCUGAGUACAGUGGCGCACGGGUGAGUAACACGUGAAUCAUCUACCUCCGAGUGGGGAAUAACUGAGAGAAAUCUUAGCUAAUACCGCAUAAUACCCACGGGUCAAAGCAGCAAUGCGCUUGGAGAGGAGUUCGCGGCAGAUUAGUUAGUUGGCGGGGUAAUGGCCCACCAAGACGAUGAUCUGUA